CAGUCGAACGAAGCACUUUAAUCGAUUUCUUCGGAUUGAAGUUUUAGUGACUGACUGGCGGACGGGUGAGUAACGCGUGGGUAACCUGCCUCACACAGGGGGAUAACAGUUGGAAACGGCUGCUAAUACCGCAUAAGCGCACAGUACCGCAUGGUACGGUGUGAAAAACUCCGGUGGUGUGAGAUGGACCCGCGUCUGAUUAGCUAGUUGGCAGGGCAACGGCCUACCAAGGCGACGAUCAGUAGCCGACCUGAGAGGGUGACCGGCCACAUUGGGACUGAGACACGGCCCAAACUCCUACGGGAGGCAGCAGUGGGGAAUAUUGCACAAUGGGGGAAACCCUGAUGCAGCGACGCCGCGUGAGCGAAGAAGUAUUUCGGCAUGUAAAGCUCUAUCAGCAGGGAAGAAGAAAUGACGGUACCUGACUAAGAAGCACCGGCUAAAUACGUGCCAGCAGCCGCGGUAAUACGUAUGGUGCAAGCGUUAUCCGGAUUUACUGGGUGUAAAGGGAGCGCAGGCGGAAGGCUAAGUCUGAUGUGAAAGCCCGGGGCUCAACCCCGGUACUGCAUUGGAAACUGGUCAUCUAGAGUGUCGGAGGGGUAAGUGGAAUUCCUAGUGUAGCGGUGAAAUGCGUAGAUAUUAGGAGGAACACCAGCGGCGAAGGCGGCUUACUGGACGAUUACCGACGCUGAGGCUCGAAAGCGUGGGGAG
rnacentral:rRNA from 1 species